AUACGGAGGAUGCGAGCGUUAUCCGGAUUUAUUGGGUUUAAAGGGUGCGUAGGCGGUCGGGUAAGCGUAGGGUGAAAGUCCUCUGCUCAACAGAGGAAGUGCCUUCCGAACUGUCCGACUGGAAUGCUCCUGCCGUGGGAGGAAUGUGUGGUGUAGCGGUGAAAUGCAUAGAGAUCACACAGAACACCGAUUGCGAAGGCAUCUCACGAAGGGGCUAUUGACGCUGAGGCACGAAAGCGUGGGGAUCAAACAGGAUUAGAUACCCUGGUAGUCCACGCAGUAAACGAUGAUGACUAACCGUCGGUCAAGACUGAUCGGUGGCCAAGCGAAAGCGAUAAGUCAUCCACCUGGGGAGUACGACCGCAAGGUUGAAACUCAAAUGAAUUGACGGGG
rnacentral:rRNA from 1 species